rnacentral:tRNA from 2 species
UCUGAUAUGGCAGAUAAGUGCAAUGAAUUUAAGCUUCAUUUAUAAAGAAUUUUUUCUUUUAUUAGAA